rnacentral:rRNA from 1 species
GAUGAACGCUGGCGGCGUGCCUAAUACAUGCAAGUCGAGCGAACAGACGAUGAGCUUGCUCCUUUGACGUUAGCGGCGGACGGGUGAGUAACACGUAGGUAACCUACCUAUAAGACUGGGAUAACUUCGGGAAACCGGAGCUAAUACCGGAUAAUAUUUCGAACCGCAUGGUUCGAUAGUGAAAGAUGGCUUUGCUAUCACUUAUAGAUGGACCUGCGCCGUAUUAGCUAGUUGGUAAGGUAACGGCUUACCAAGGCAACGAUACGUAGCCGACCUGAGAGGGUGAUCGGCCACACUGGAACUGAGACACGGUCCAGACUCCUACGGGAGGCAGCAGUAGGGAAUCUUGCGCAAUGGGCGAAAGCCUGACGGAGCAACGCCGCGUGAGUGAUGAAGGUCUUCGGAUCGUAAAACUCUGUUAUUAGGGAAGAACAAACGUGUAAGUAACUGUGCACGUCUUGACGGUACCUAAACAGAAAGCCACGGCUAACUACGUG